CCUACGGGCGACAGCAGUGAGGAAUCUUCGUCAAUGGGCGAGAGCCUGAACCAGCCAAGUCGCGUGAGGGAAUACUGCCCUCUGGGCUGUAAACCUUUUUUGUCGGGGAGCAAAAGCCGGACGUGUCCGGCAGUGCGAGUGACCGAAGAAAAAGCAUCGGCUAACUCCGUGCCAGCAGCCGCGGUAAUACGGAGGCUCCGAGCGUUAUCCGGAUUUAUUGGGGUUAAAGGGAGCGUAGAUGGGUUGUUAAGUCAGUUGUGAAAGUUUGCGGCUCAACCGUAAAAUUGCAAUGGAUACUGGCAGUCUUGAGUACAGUUGAGGUAGGCGGAAUUCGAGGUGUAGCGGUGAAAUGCUUAGAUAUCAGGAAGAACCCCGGUGGCGAAGGCAGCUUACUAAACUGUGACUGACAUUGAUGCUCGAAAGUGUGGGUAUCAAACAGGAUUAGAUACCCCAGUAGUC
rnacentral:rRNA from 1 species